GGAAGAUUUGCAAACACGCGAAAAUGGAAAUUAAAUUAUUAAAAAGCGAUAAAGCAAAAUUUUCAAAUAAAUAACGCCUAAACAUUUUAGAAACUCUGACAACGCGAGUCACUUUGGCCGUCUAAGUAACGCAGCAGCCAAGUGCCGUCUGAAGCUAUCGCCGCACCACCACCGCCGGCCCUGUUCUCCCGUCCUCUUCCAGCAACCGUUGUCUCCCCCUUUAGUCCUCCUCAGCCACCGAAUUGAAAAGGCGAUUGGAAGCCGCGUUCUGUCUAUUUCUGUCUCGCCAUGGCUUCAGAUAGCUUAGCUUUGUCAGGUCUACAAAUUUGGACUCCUGGACUUCUGAGCAACUUAAGACAAUGGUUUUUGGAGGCAACAACUGGGCGCAAGUUUUCUUUAAGCAGCAUGGGUGGACAGAUGGUGGCUAAACUGAGGCAAAAUGCCCCAAGGACAAUUUGAAUGAUGAGAAGCCCAAGCCUGAAACUACACAUUCACCUGAAGCUCCUAUCCGUUCUACCGUCUUAUCCUCUAUCAAGAAACCCAUUGGUACGAAGAAGACCGGAGGGAAGACUGGUGGGCUUGGUGUAAAGAACCUUACAACAAAGCUCUGCAGGAAUCUUUGAAGGAGCAAAGGAAGUUACGACAGACCCUUUUACAAAUACAAGAAGAAUUGAUCCAUAGCAGGCCUUUAACUUUCUCGGAAGCAAAAGAUUUAUUAACAAAGCAGCCAAGCCAUAUCGAGGAGCAGGCAAAGGAGCUAGGGAAACAAAUCAAGAAGGUAGAAGAAAUUAUGCAGGAGGUAAAAAGGCAAGUGUCAUGAACUUUCCUCCAACAUCAAAAUCAAAAGAAUAUGAUGAGGCACUAGCAAAUACAGAGGAAAUUAGUUCUCCUGCUAUUGGUUUCAUUAUUGCAAAAGACGCUACAAACAAAGACAUAAAUAGGCAAAACAAUACAAUAAUUGAUCUUUUGAUAAAAAUAAAUUAUAAAUUAGAUCAAUUACUUGUAAAACCUAUUUCUAGCAGUACUGAGCAGGUGUAAGAUCUUGCAAAGCAAUUGGAAGGUCUUACUAUAAAGACAAAGACAACAAAAAAGGAACCCUUCUACGUAUAUCAAGACCCUCUGAAGAUAUACAAGGAAGAAAAAUGCUAAGUCUUUAACGCUUUUUACUGCAAAAUACCAAGACCCUCUCCAUAAUACCUGGUAUAGGUAUUUUACUGCAAAAUGCUAAGUCUUUAACGCUUUUUUGUAUAGCAGCCCUUUUACAGAUUUCCGCUAAGUAUUGAUAUGUGAAAUGACUUCUAGGUAUGACACCAACCUGAUUAGCGGGAUAUUUGGCUUUAAAUGCUGCUUCUAUUUCAUUCCCAAUAAUAGGGGGCAUUUUCCUGAAUAAUUUAUAUGAUAAUUCUGGACUGAUGAACAUCCUUCCUGACUUUGCUGCCAAUAUCUUGUAAUCAUUCAAAUAAUUAAAUAUAUCUUUCAUACUAUUGCAUGUUAAUCGUUCAAUAUCGAUAUAAGUCUGAUCUUGCUGGUAAGGGUCUUCCAAUAAGAAGGAUCUUCUUAUUGCAGAUAAAAUGUUUUGUGUUUCUCUGGCCAUCUGUAUGAGGGCCUCAUAUUCUGUGGCGUAUGCCAUACGCCACUGAAUCCACAUUUUCUUUUCAUUUUCUCCUAAAAGGUUUUCAAUAAAUUGUACCUUUUGAGAAUUGUCCAGCCAGGUCUUUUGAUUUACAGAUUGUUGGUUAUUGAUUCCCAUCUGGAGAUGACUUCUGAAUAUUGACCAAUAUAUUCUGGUAGUAUUAGAAUGGCUCCAUCAUUAGUUUGAGCUGAUCCAUGGCCGGUGAUUAUGCCCUCUUGGUUUAAACUUCCCAUUGAUAAUUGGCGCUUCUGCUUGCUCUAUUCUUGAAUUCACCUGUGCAGGGGGAUAAUUAACUUGUCCCAUAAGAGGUUCUUGAGGAGGGUUGUACCUGGAAAUUGCGCUGGUACUAGAAAAUGUCUUUUCUCCAGUUGCUUGUUGUACCAUACUGCGUAAUAUAGGAUAGUCCAAUGAUUACAGAUGUUCUAUCAAUGAGUCCGUCCCACGUGUGCAGCUUCUUCCAUAUGCUUCAACCAUUCAUUUGGUUCUUCUUUAUUUACUGAGGAUGAAGACUCUACUUCCUGAAUAGCUAAUUCCUGUAUCCCUUCAGUAAUUUUUUCUGUAUUAGCAAUUUGCUCUUCUAAUUGCUCUACUUGCUCUACCACCUGCUGCCAGUAUUCUUCUGCGCCUGGGUCAUUGUUGUCCCAAUAAGGGGGCAAUUGUUGAUUAUUUUCAUCCUGUAACACAGAGUUAAGAGAAAGAGAAGGAUAAUCAUUCUCCAAAUCUUCCAAACCUAAAAAGUAGGCUUCCCUUUCCUCUUCUUCUUCUUGGUCAUAGCUUGGUUCAGCCGGUAAGUCUUCUAGUUCCAAGAAUGGAUCUUCCUCCCAUGGUGUAUCUUCCCAGAUACUUGGAAAUACAGCUUCAUUUUCUUCAUCACCCCAGCCGGGUGGAGGAGGAAGUUCUAUAUCUGAAAAAUUUUUUGGGAUGUCAUAAUUAACAUAAUAGUCAAACUUACCACUUGGUUGUCCAAGGGUAUCCCAUCGUCCAGUAUUAUAUUUGGAUUUUUUUUUUAUUCUUUUUGGGAAUGUCUUCAUGGAACAGUGGUAGAAUAUAUUCACUUCUGAGCAUUCCUACGAAUUCUUCUUCUCCUUCAUUCUGGAUUUCUUCAAUAUCAAUAUUACUGAGUCUUUUUGGCUAAGAAUUUUUUGUUGCAUGUAACCCUGAAAUGAUAAUGAGAUAGAACCAUCUAGUAAGGUUGCAGUUCUGACCUCUCGAGGGUUACGAAUUUGUAAAGUUGUCGAUGGCUGGAGGAUCCAUCUCAUGCCUUGUCGUUCUGAAAUUGUUCUGGGAGUUGCUGAUACUGCAUGAAUUCCCGUACUAGCCAAGUAAUCUGCUACAUUUUGUACAUUAUAUCGAAAACCAGCAUGGCUAGUAUUGGUUAAUCUCCCAAUUAAUCCCCGUGUUAUUAAUAAAUUUGAUUCAGCAGUAUUUCAAUCUUCAUAACCAUGUAUUUGUACAACUAAUUCAAUAUGAUGAUAAAAAUCUUCCACACUUAUCAUCAUGUUUGGUGCAAUAUAAACUAAUUGCGUACCUCCAGAAAGGUCAACCUCCAUUGUCCCAAUAAUUGAUCUAUCGUCCCUCCAUCUGGUGUCUCUGAGGACAACUAGAGCGUUUACACCUGCAUUUCUUCGAUGCAAAGCAUGUAUUCUGAUCAUUACUAAUCUCAGAUGGAUUAAUUGCAUACCUUCUUGCCUCAGAAUUGAAUAGCUAGCUUGAUUAAUUAGAGAUAGAUUCUGUUGUCCUCCAAUAACCAGAAUUCUUGUUUCAGAAUAAUGUUGAUUUACCCGAUGUCUUGGUUCAGACCAAUUAGUUGAAUAAAGGGUCUCUGCUGGUACUAGUGAAGCCCUUCGUCUUUGUGAUAAUUCUAAUUCAGCUUCAGGAUUCAGCUGGCUCUCUAGAGUUCUUGAGCCAUUUCUUGCAUUACUAAACCUCCUUUGUGUUUCAUACCGAAAUCUUGCCAUCCUUCUAUAACUCCUUAUCUGAUCUUCCUGUGAAGAUGUUACUGGCUCAAGUGUUUCAGUUGUACUUCUUUCAAUAAUAGCAGGUCUAUUUCUUGUCGCCAUUUAACUUUUCUUUUUCUUCCUUGUAUAUCUUCAGAGGGUCUUAGAAGGGUUCCUUUUUUGCUGCCUUUGUCUUUAUAGUAAGCCCUUCCAAUUGCUUUGCAAGAUCUAACACCUGCUCAGUACUGCUAGAAACAGGUUUUACAAGUAGUUGAUCUAAUUUAUAAUUGAUUUUUAUCAAAAGAUCAAUUAUUGUAUUGCCUGUUUAUGUCUUUGUUUGUAGCGUCUUUUGCAAUAAUGAAACCAAUAGCAGGAGAACUAAUUUCCUCUGUAUUUGCUAGUGCCUCAUCAUAUUCUUUUGAUUUUGAUGUUGGAGGAAAGUUCAUGACACUUGCCUUUUUACCUCCUGCAUAAUUUCUUCUACCUUCUUGAUUUGUUUCCCUAGCUCCUUUGCCUGCUCCUCGAUAUGGCUUGGCUGCUUUGUUAAUAAAUCUUUUGCUUCCGAGAAAGUUAAAGGCCUGCUAUGGAUCAAUUCUUCUUGUAUUUGUAAAAGGGUCUGUCGUAACUUCCUUUGCUCCUUCAAAGAUUCCUGCAGAGCUUGUGAAAUUUCCAGAUGAUUUUGUUUCAGGAUUUUUAACAAAGUUCUGUAUUCAGAUAUGGAUACUUUUGAGUGUAAUAACAGCCGGUCAUAAAGUACACCAAUAUUAUUGGAAAUGCCUUCAAGAGAAACUUUUGAUUCUAGAUUAAGGUAUUCAAGGUUCACAGUUCGAGAGUUUUGAUAUCAGUUUUUAAUUUCUUUUUCAAACCUUUCAGACAUAAUUCAUUAUGAAGUAAAUUUUCUUUAGUCCCCUACCCUCAAGCUUACUGCAAAGUCUAUGUUCAGGUCUUUGUAGGUACCUUCCCCUUUUGAACGACCUUACUGAAGCACUUCACAGCUCCAUAUGGAGUAUAGACGCUAAAGCAAUUUACAACAUAAAAAAAAAUAUCUUACUUAGUUUAAAAUUUUAAAUAAUAGGCACAUACCUCCCGAAAACUACUUACCAGAAUACCUUUCAAAAAUUUAGUUGAAAUUUAUCAUAAUUGCCAAACCACGCUAUGAUACCAUAGAUAGCAUAGAAAUUUUUACAAGGAUCUCUUGAGUAUAGACCACUAAGGGUUCUUGAACUCAAGAAAGCAAUAUCUUACAAGGGACUUCGC